rnacentral:lncRNA from 1 species
CCUGCUCCUGCUGUCAAAUAUCCUUUUCUCUUCUGCAACCUAAUUUAGACUUCCUUUUUAGAGUUGCAGUUUUGCUCCAUUUUCAAUUGUGUUAGAGGAACCAAGAUUUCAGGCCAUUAUCUCAUCAUUCCCAUGAAUAGCAACACGAAAUGUGCUUGUGCUGCUGGGACACCAAGCCUGGCUGGGAGGACAUGGCCACUGAAGGAAAUCCAGAAGAAACCACGCUGCCACAGAGAGUACUGAAAGCCCAAGGAGAAACCCCAAGGCAGGACAGGAUGUAAGACAGCUCUAGAGAACAAUGAAUACUGUGCUGUGGUGCUGGAUGCUCACCCUGGCAGGUUCCAGACCAUCAUCUCCCAUCAUCAUGGUGUCUCCAGCCAUGGCUCAGCCUCCCCUUUGCUGGCAACAUCUUCUCAUCAGACUGUGCAUCCCAACCUCAAAUCGAGUGAGCUGAGAAACUGAAAAAAGAAAAAAGAGAAGAAUGAAGAAAGAUCUGAGGAGGAUGCUCAUGGAGUCACCUUCCAUCAUGUUCCCUGCCUGGGGGCCGCUGGGGUGAUGCAUUUUUGGGCUGGAGCACCACAGUGGCUCUGUUAGAAGUCCCCAGGGUGGCACAGGGGAGCACUGUGGUCCCUCCUGCUGUGGGACCCGAUGGCCACAAGGGUGUCCAGCCCUGCAGCACCCAGCAGGAGCACUUCAACAUCCAGAGAAAGGAAUCCUUUAAAGAACUGUGGCAGGUCUAAUGGAAAUAAUAAAUUUGAGGUUCUUCCUUAAUCCUUGCA